UAAAAACAGCAAAUCAAGUAGUGUCAUAGGACUCACUGGUAAUCUUUAAUAUUGGUGCGUGAGCAGACACGAGGAUAUAUCACAUCUUGUGAAAAUUCUGGGUCUCUUGCUUUCCCAUCUUUUGAAUCCUUGUAUGCUAUUUCACUUGAGAAGAUUGUCAUAUGCUUUAUAUUUAUUAAGGCCAAAUGACUUUCUUGGACAUAGUUGAAGGCUUAAGAGUGGGCUUGAAUGUGUGCGGUACGCCAAACACGAAACAGCAAUCUGGUCACUGUUUCGUUGAGGGGUGGUGUUUGUCUCGGGAAGCUGAGAAAAGCACUCAUAUCUCUUUGUGCUGUGAUAUAUGCACAUGUGAGGCCAGGUGAUGUGUGGCCCUUGUUUCUGUGGUUGUAUAAUAAUCAAGCAAGAGCUGUGUUCCAAUGCCCGAUCCAUCAUUGUGAUCCUCAGAAUUCCCCAUUUAUUUGACCUUUUCUUCAUUUGACAGCUGUGCGUUUGGGCCACAAUUCUGUAGCAAUGCCUUCCGCUCGAUUAUAUGCGACUCUUAUCAUCCACCGUUCACGGCCGGCUGAUCGCUUUGAUAACGGAUAACGCGGGUGGGACGUCACUCUGACCACUGACAAAGCACGAAAAGGAAUAUCAUCGGAGAAGGAAUCGCUACAAAAUCGCGGCCUUAGUGCAUCCUUGUGACACUGAACAAUCCUGGUUUGACCUCUGCAACACCACAGUUACCUCUUUUUUACCUAGGUUUGGCAAACUUGUUUGCACAUUUUCUUGCCAAAUUGAUCGACUUUUCGUGAUGCACAUUCGUGUUCAUGCCUAUGUAUGCACCUUGGCUGAAUGCUGCAAACGUCUUUCAGGCCACUCCUCUCUGAACAAGGUUGUGUCAGUGUCCUCAGACCAAUGUGAUGUACUGGCAACAGGACGGGCUGUGUGCAGCUGUCAAGUUAUCCAGCCUUCGGUCUGGCCAGCUUGUAUUAGUGUUGCGUUAAUGUAUAUCCUGAAAGCAUAAAAAUAAACGCUACUGUGAUGUGA